AACGCGAAGAACCUUACCAAGGUUUGACAUGGCCGGAAAACUCGCAGAGAUGCGGGGUCCUUCGGGGCCGGUCACAGGUGGUGCAUGGCUGUCGUCAGCUCGUGUCGUGAGAUGUUGGGUUAAGUCCCGCAACGAGCGCAACCCUCGUCCUAUGUUGCCAGCAAGUAAAGUUGGGGACUCAUGGGAGACUGCCGGGGUCAACUCGGAGGAAGGUGGGGAUGACGUCAAGUCAUCAUGCCCCUUAUGUUCAGGGCUACACACGUGCUACAUUGGCGCAUACAGAGGGCUGCGAUACCGCGAGGUGGAGCGAAUCCCUUAAAAGUGCGUCUCGGUUCGGAUUGCAGGCUGAAAUUCGCCUGCAUGAAGGCGGAGUUGCUAGUAAUCGCGGAUCAGCAUUGCCGCGGUGAAUACGUUCCCGGGCCUUGUACACACCGAGACGUA
rnacentral:rRNA from 1 species